rnacentral:lncRNA from 1 species
CCAAUGCACUAGACACUUACAGCUCCAACACUGGGCAAAGCACUCCACUGCAGGUUUUCAUCAUCCCGUGUUAUCAAGAGGAGUCAUUUUUGUAUCACGUUUGCGAUGGCAAUAAUUUGAUUGAAUCCCUGCCACCAGCUCAACUAUUUUAUUCCAAAACACCUCUGUUCUUCUAUACUUCUUCAUUUCUGACAUUCCAAUUAUCUUUGCAUCAAUCAUUAAAAUCUAUUAACAUUUCAUGUGUUUUUUUAUGGAUUAUCUUAUGCUGCAG